rnacentral:rRNA from 1 species
UAGUUUUCUGUAGCAAUACAGGGAAUGGGCGCGUGGCGAACGGGUGCGUAACACGUGGAUAACCUUCCUUCAGGUGGGGAAUAACCCAGUGAAAAUUGGGCUAAUACCGCAUAACAUCGCGAUGGCACAUGCUGUUGCGUUCAAAGGCGCAAGUCGCCAGAAGAGGGAUCCGCGGCCGAUUAGCUUGUUGGCGAGGUAAUGGCUCACCAAGGCAUUGGUCGGUAGCCGGACUGAGAGGUUGGCCGGCCACACUGGAACUGAGACACGGUCCAGACUCCUACGGGAGGCAGCAGUGGGGAAUCUUGCACAAUGGGCGAAAGCCUGAUGCAGCAACGCCGCGUGGGGGAUGAAGCUUCUCGGA